AUAUAUCUAUAUUUCAUCUAUUUAUCAAAUAAAAGGAUACUUGGGCGCCGUAAGGCUACGGAGAUAAACCUCUACAGAGAGGAAUCCAACCGUACGAUUCCUUAUAGUCUUCAGUAACCUUUUAUUGAUAUUAUUUAUAUAAAUAUCGUAAAAUAGAUACGACACUUGAUAGCUCAAAACAACACUGAGAUACUGCUCCAAAAAGAGUAGUC
rnacentral:lncRNA from 1 species